GACGAACGCUGGCGGCGUGCUUAACACAUGCAAGUCGAACGGAAAGGCCUGCUUUCCCUUGUGGAUUGCGGGUACUCGAGUGGCGAACGGGUGAGUAACACGUGAGUGAUCUGCCCCCAACUUGGGUAUAAGCCUGGGAAACUGGGUCUAAUUCCCGAUAGGACUGCAGGGUGGUGCCUGUGGUGGAAAACGAUUUUCUAGUGGUUGGGGAUGAGCUCGCGGCCUAUCAGCUUGUUGGUGGGGUAAUGGCCUACCAAGGCGGCGACGGGUAGCCGGCCUGGGAGGGUGGACGGCCACAGUGGGACUGAGAUACGGCCCAGACGCCUACGGGAGGCAGCAGUGGGGAAUAUUGCACAAGGGGCGGAAGCCUGAUGCAGCGACGCCGCGUGGGGGAUGACGGCCUUCGGGUUGUAAACUCCUUUCGACCGCGAGGAAGCCACCUGGUUGGAAGGGUGGUGACGGUAGUGGUAGAAGAAGCACCGGCUAACUACGUG
rnacentral:rRNA from 1 species